CCGUCUCCCAGUCUCUCUGGCUCCGAUCUCCUCCUUCCUCCCCUGACCUUUGUGAUGACCUUGGACCUACUGAGAAAAUCCAGGACCAUCUCCCAUCUCAAGAUUCUCAGCUGAGGAGUUCCCGUCGUGGCGCAGUGGUUAACGAAUCCGACUAGGAUCCAUGAGGAUUCGGGUUCGAUCCCUGGCCUCACUCAGUGGAUUAAGGAUCCGGCGUUGCCAUGAGCUGGGGUGUAGGUCGCAGACGCGGCUCAGUUCUGGCAUUGCUGUGGUGUAGGCUGGUGGCUACAGCUCCAAUUGGACCCUUCGCCUGGGAAAUUCCAUGUGCCAUGGGUGUGGCCCUAAAAAGACAAAAAAAAAAAGAUUCUCAGCUGAAUCCCAUCUGCAAAGUCCCUUUUGCUGCAGAAGUAACAUAUUCACCAGUUCUGGGGAUUGAGACGUGGACAUUUGGGGGGAUAUUCUUGUGCCACCAGAGUGGUCGAGAGCUUGGCCACAGGAGAAGAUUGGUUUUGCCACCUGCUGCCCGUGGGGCCUUGGACUCACCCUUUCAUGACUCCAUGCCUCAGUUUCCCCAUCUGGAGAUGGAAGACAAUAAUUAUCCUGCCUCAUCAGCUGCUGGAAGGGCCAGCAAGUUAAAACCCGUACGUUCCUCAGGGCAGGCCGGGCACUCGAGAAGGUUGGCACUUGGGGAGACCAUCAAGCCUCAGAUGUCCCUGCCCUUUGCAGCCCAGGAACCUGGACUUGACAAGGCACUGGCGGCCCCCCAGCACCCUCCCUGGGGCUGCUUUGCUGUAGCUCCAGAAUCGUUUUUUUUUUUUUUUUUUUUUUUGCUUUUUUUUAAGGCCACACCCAUGGCAUAUGGAGGUUCCCGGGCUAGGGGUCAAAUCGGAGCUGCAGCUGCCGGCCUACACCACAGCCACACAGAAUCCAAGCUGCAUCUGCAACCUAUACCACAGCUCACAGCAACGCUGAAUCUUUAACCCACUGAACAAGGCCAAGCUUCGAACCUGCGUCCUCAUGGCUACUAGUCAGAUUCAUUUUUGCUGAGCUACAACGGAAACUGCUGGCUCUG
rnacentral:lncRNA from 1 species